GAUCCUGGCUCAGGAUGAACGCUAGCUACAGGCUUAACACAUGCAAGUCGAGGGGCAGGCAUGGUCUUAGCUUGCUAAGGCCGAUGGCGACCGGCGCACGGGUGAGGUAACACGUAUCCAACCUGCCGUCUACUCUUGGACAGCCUUCUGAAAGGAAAAUUAAUACAAGAUGGCAUCAUGAGUUCACAUGUUCACAUGAUUAAAGGUAUUCCGGUAGACGAUGGGGAUGCGG
rnacentral:rRNA from 1 species